rnacentral:rRNA from 1 species
AGAGUUUGAUCCUGGCUCAGAACGAACGCUGGCGGCGUGCCUAACACAUGCAAGUCGAACGAGAAAGGGGCUUCGGCCCUGAGUAAAGUGGCGCACGGGUGAGUAACACGUGGGUAACCUGCCUCUAAGACUGGGAUAACUCGUCGAAAGAUGAGCUAAUACCGGAUAAGACCACAGCUCCUGCGGGGACAGGGGCCAAAGGUAGCCUAUGCUUGCAAGCUAUCACUUAGAGAUGGGCCUGCGCACCAUUAGCUAGUUGGUAGGGUAACGGCCUACCAAGGCAAAGAUGGUUAGCUGGUCUGAGAGGAUGAUCAGCCACACUGGAACUGAGACACGGUCCAGACUCCUACGGGAGGCAGCAGUGGGGAAUAUUGCGCAAUGGGCGAAAGCCUGACGCAGCAACGCCGCGUGAGUGAUGAAGGCCUUCGGGUCGUAAAGCUCUGUCGGAGGGAACGAAUGCUCCCGAGGUUAACAGCCUCGGGAAGUGACGGUACCCUCAAAGGAAGCACCGGCUAACUCUGUGCCAGCAGCCGCGGUAAUACAGAGGGUGC